rnacentral:lncRNA from 1 species
GUUCUUUUGACAUUAGAUGGAAGCAACCCAGUCAAGUGAUUCAAGAUGGACCAAGUAUCGCCUAUUCUCCUGCCCUUUUUUUUGUCAAUCUUAUCAAUAAAAGAGUGAGGACUAAAAUAUAAUCUUGUACUCGAGUUCUGUUGUCAUGUAACUCGUUAUAUGGUGUGAUCUGUCACAUGCUACACUUUCUGCAAUGAAUGGCAGAGUUCGGGAGUUUGAAUCCCUUAAUGUGUAAUCAGUAGCAUCUAUGUGCAACUUUGAUGGUUUUUGUCACAUCCAAGUAGUGAACACAUUCAUCAUUGGGACCUUGAUUUGUAUUUGUUUACACUGGUGGAUGGCUGUUCUGGAAGAUCCCAUUUCCGAAAAAACCAUUUCCAGACAUAAACACUUGGAAUGUCAUUUNNNNNNNNNNNNNNNNNNNNNNNNNAAUCCAAGUCCCAAAAAAGGGCCAGAGUUGGGGGGGGUAUUUUUCCGUGAUCCGACCGCCCUGAUUUAUAUAAGGUUCUUUUGACAUUAGAUGGAAGCAACCCAGUCAAGUGAUUCAAGAUGGACCAAGUAUCGCCUAUUCUCCUGCCCUUUUUUUUUGUCAAUCUUAUCAAUAAAAGAGUGAGGACUAAAAUAUAAUCUUGUACUCGAGUUCUGUUGUCAUGUAACUCGUUAUAUGGUGUGAUCUGUCACAUGCUACACUUUCUGCAAUGAAUGGCAGAGUUCGGGAGUUUGAAUCCCUUAAUGUGUAAUCAGUAGCAUCUAUGUGCAACUUUGAUGGUUUUUGUCACAUCCAAGUAGUGAACACAUUCAUCAUUGGGACCUUGAUUUGUAUUUGUUUACACUGGUGGAUGGCUGUUCUGGAAGAUCCCAUUUCCGAAAACCAUUUCCAGACAUAAACACUUGGAAUGUCAAUUUCUCAAUAUAUCUCUGAAAGCAUUGGAG